CUGCAGCCACCCUCGCUGGUGUUCUGGGGCUGACAGAGAUUUGAAUUCUCCCAGGCAUGGAGUUUGUGAGGUCCCACCCAGUUAGGGUUCUCCUAACUGAGACCUCUGGCCACUCACACCUGUGUUCUCAUGCUGAAAGAGAUUUGAAUUCUUCCUGGCAUGGAGGUCUCCGGUUCCUGCCCAGUGAGGGUCCUUCCAACUCAGGCCUCCAGCCAACUCCCCCCACCCCCGCCAAUAUUCUGGGGCUGACAGAGAUUUCAAUUCUCCCUGGCAUCGAGGUAUCGGGGUCCUGCCCAGUGAGGGACCUCCCAACGGGGGCCUGCAGCCACCCCCGCCAGUGUUCUGGGGCUGACAGAGAUUUG
rnacentral:lncRNA from 10 species